GAUGAACGCUGGCGGCGUGCUUAACACAUGCAAGUCGAACGGGAAUUAUUUUAUUGAAACUUCGGUCGAUUUAAUUUAAUUCUAGUGGCGGACGGGUGAGUAACGCGUGGGUAACCUGCCUUAUACAGGGGGAUAACAGUCAGAAAUGGCUGCUAAUACCGCAUAAGCGCACAGAGCUGCAUGGCUCAGUGAGAAAAACUCCGGUGGUAUAAGAUGGACCCGCGUUGGAUUAGCUUGUUGGCAGGGUAACGGCCUACCAAGGCGACGAUCCAUAGCCGGCCUGAGAGGGUGAACGGCCACAUUGGGACUGAGACACGGCCCAGACUCCUACGGGAGGCAGCAGUGGGGAAUAUUGCACAAUGGGGGAAACCCUGAUGCAGCGACGCCGCGUGAAGGAAGAAGUAUCUCGGUAUGUAAACUUCUAUCAGCAGGGAAGAUAGUGACGGUACCUGACUAAGAAGCCCCGGCUAACUACGUG
rnacentral:rRNA from 1 species